rnacentral:rRNA from 1 species
AACGAACGCUGGCGGCAUGCCUAACACAUGCAAGUCGAACGAGACCUUCGGGUCUAGUGGCGCACGGGUGCGUAACGCGUGGGAACCUGCCCUUAGGUUCGGAAUAACUCCCCGAAAGGGGUGCUAAUACCGGAUAAUGUCUUCGGACCAAAGAUUUAUCGCCUUUGGAUGGGCCCGCGUUGGAUUAGCUAGUUGGUAGGGUAAAAGCCUACCACGGCGACGAUCCAUAGCUGGUCUGAGAGGAUGAUCAGCCACACUGGGACUGAGACACGGCCCAGACUACUACGGGAGGGAGCAGUGGGGAAUAUUGGACAAUGGGCGAAAGCAUGAUCCAGCAAGGCCGCGUGAGUGAUGAAGGCCUUAGGGUUGUAAAGCUCUUUUACCCGGGAUGAUAAUGACAGUACCGGGAGAAUAAGCUCCGGCUAACUCCGUG